GCAGCGGGGAAGGCUUGCGCAAUGGCGUAUCGGCUGACGCAGCGACGCCGCGUGUGCGAUGAAGCUCUUUGGAGUGUAAACCACUGUUGCCCGGGACGAACAGUUCGAUUAUUCGAGCCUGACGGUACCGGGUGAGGAAGCACCGGCUAACUCCGUGCCAGCAGCCGCGGUAAUACGGGGGGUGCGAGCGUUGUCCGGAAUCACUGGGCGUAAAGGGCGCGUAGGUGGUUUGAUAAGUCUGUGGUGAAAGCCCGGGGCUCAACCCCGGAUCUGCCGUGCAGACUGUCAAACUCGAGUACGGUAGAGGCGGGUGGAAUUCCGGGUGUAGCGGUGAAAUGCGUAGAUAUCCGGAGAACACCGGUGGCGAAGGCGGCUCUGCUG
rnacentral:rRNA from 1 species